GACGAACGCUGGCGGCGUGCCUAAUACAUGCAAGUUGAGCGCUGAAGGUUGGUACUUGUACCAACUGGAUGAGCAGCGAACGGGUGAGUAACGCGUGGGGAAUCUGCCUUUGAGCGGGGGACAACAUUUGGAAACGAAUGCUAAUACCGCAUAAAAACUUUAAACACAAGUUUUAAGUUUGAAAGAUGCAAUUGCAUCACUCAAAGAUGAUCCCGCGUUGUAUUAGCUAGUUGGUGAGGUAAAGGCUCACCAAGGCGAUGAUACAUAGCCGACCUGAGAGGGUGAUCGGCCACAUUGGGACUGAGACACGGCCCAAACUCCUACGGGAGGCAGCAGUAGGGAAUCUUCGGCAAUGGACGAAAGUCUGACCGAGCAACGCCGCGUGAGUGAAGAAGGUUUUCGGAUCGUAAAACUCUGUUGGUAGAGAAGAACGUCGGUGAGAGUGGAAAGCUCAUCAAGUGACGGUAACUACCCAGAAAGGGACGGCUAACUACG
rnacentral:rRNA from 1 species